rnacentral:rRNA from 1 species
CACGCCGUAAACGAUGAGAACUGGUUUUUGGGGGUAUUGACUCCUUCAGAAACGAAGCUAACGCGUUAAGUUCUCCGCCUGGGAAGUACGGUCGCAAGACUAAAACUCAAAGGAAUUGACGGGGGCCCGCACAAGCGGUGGAUUAUGUGGUUUAAUUCGAAGCAACGCGCAGAACCUUACCUAGGCUUGAAAUCCUACGAAUUCGGCGUAAUGGUCGAAGUGCCCUUCGGGGAACGUAGAGACAGGUGC